rnacentral:rRNA from 1 species
CGGCAAUAGCUCAAAUUUGAAAUCUGGGUCUUGGCCCCGAAUUGUAAUUUGUAGAGGAUGCUUCGGCUUAUGUCUCGGUCUAAGUUCCUUGGAACAGGACGUCACAGAGGGUGAGAAUCCCGUUUGUGGCCGACGACUUCCGCCAUGUGAAGCUCCUUCGAC